rnacentral:rRNA from 1 species
CAGCAGCCGCGGGAAUACGAAGGGGGCUAGCGUUGUUCGGAAUUACUGGGCGUAAAGCGCACGUAGGCGGAUAUUUAAGUCAGGGGUGAAAUCCCAGAGCUCAACUCUGGAACUGCCUUUGAUACUGGGUAUCUUGAGUAUGGAAGAGGUUAGUGGAAUUGCGAGUGUAGAGGUGAAAUUCGUAGAUAUUCGCAGGAACACCAGUGGCGAAGGCGGCUAACUGGUCCAUAACUGACGCUGAGGUGCGAAAGCGUGGGGAGCAAACAGGAUUAGAUACCCCGGUAGUCCCUGUCUCUUAUAC